CAUGCUUUUUCUCUCUUCUCCAAAUAUUCAAGAACUGAUUUUUACAUAAUUGUUUUCUUGAAUCUUUGAAAACGUGAACUUGGUUUAUUAUUUUCCAAGUCAGAUGUUGUCUUCCUUAAGCUGGAAUUGAGUUAGAAAAACCCAAAAUGAGAGGAAGCAUAGUUGGUGUCUCACCUAGUCCUAUUGAACCUAGACAGAGGCUCUCUGUAUCCACAGGUUGUUAUACGAAGUUACACCACGUAAAUGCAACGGGAUUUUGCGAUUCUAAGGGAGUACGGUGCAAUCUUCCUCAAGAAUAUCAUAUGGAUUUCCCCCUACUUCGAUCUGCCAUUACAUGUUAUCGCAAUUGACGUGUAUUAGAUGGAUUUCCAAGAAAAUUGGUUCAGGCCCCGAUAAACAGGUCGAGAGUCUACCAAGUAGGUGAUCAACUCAGCGGAAGAUGUUGGUGCACUCCAUUUGCUCCGGAGUUGCUUGUUUGGCCCCGAUAGACAGGUCGAGAGUCCUCCAAUUAGGUGAUCAGCUCAGCGGAAGAUGUUGGUGCAUUCUAUUUGCUUUGAAGUUGAUUGUUUGGUUAGUAUGAUUUAAAUGUGUAUUGUUUGGUAUGGCAAGGCUCUUUCCCGACUUUUAUAAUACUAUGUAUUCUUAGAGGCUUGUAGAUAGAUGUCAUGUAUAAGGAUUCUUGUAUGGACUUGUCGUCCUAUGUUUUGAGUAUAUAAAGGAUCAUGCCGGCCCUAUAGGCUCGUAUGUCA